UAUAACAAUCAGUUUCUUUGUCUCUUAGUUUUAGUAUCAUCAUGAAUCUAUCUCUUUCUUUAAUAUCUAUCAUUCAUUAUAACAUUUAUCAUGUUGUUUAGACAUAAUCGGUUAUGGAAGAAAGCACUUAGAAAGAUUACAGCACUUGUGGGUGAAAUGAUGUUGUCAUACGCUUAUGACAUGUUGUAUUGUUGUUCUGUUUAUCUUACACUUAUGAUAUGUUGUAUUGUUGUAUUGUUUAUCAUUAUAUGGUGUAUUUUACUUAUUAGUAUAAUUUGUGGAACAAGUAACAACAAUCUGAAGGCGUACAUGCCGGAGAGUACAUGCCUGAGAGUAGGCCUACGUGCCUGAGAGAAUCUCUGCCAUGGCGGGGUGGAAAAAUAUCAGGUCAAAGUGACCUGGUAUCUGCAUCAGAGAAAGGGGAGGUGAAAGUGAAAGUUCUAGAUAAAAGGCGCUGUAUGAGGCAGAGAGAUAAAGACAUCGUCCCGACGGGGGCUCCAUGCGGGGCGGCCCUGGGCCCUUUGCGAUCGCCGGACUUUCGGACUUAGGAAACUCAGAAAACUUAGAACAUCCGAUCGCCGUACUUUCAGAUUUAGAAAAAUUAGAAAAUCCGAUCUCCGUACUUUCGGACUUAGAGAAAUUAGGACAUCCUCUCUUCAACACUCUACAGAUAUGGGAGAGAUCUCUCCCAUAGCCCAACGGGGCAAAGAAGACUACUGGCUGUGGGACCAUUUGAUGAGACCUUCCUGGCUGUGGGACCAUUUGAUGAGACCUUCCUUGCUGUGGGACCAUUUGAUGAGACCGACCCUCCGUGCCCGAGGAGAGAUAGAGCUUCUCUCUCUCUCCCUACCGUCGACACCGGGGAAGUGUUGGAUGUAGUGUAGAGAGGUAAGAAUCAGGUAUCGAAAUUAUUAUAGACUAAAUCAGCUUUAUAGACAAACCCAAUUUAUUAGGCACUAUAUUAUAGGUAUUAUAGGAGAGAUAGAGUUUCUCUCUCUCUCCCUCUGACGUCACCGGAGCAACAUUCCAGCGCCGCUCACUCCCCAAUAACACGGACGUGAGGAUAGAUUAGUCUCGAUCUCUCCUUUCUUCACAGUGUGCGGGGGCCAGAACAAGGGAGCGACAGCCUUUCUCUUCACACCGCUGAGGAGAGUGUCGACGUAGAGAGGUGUAGAGAGGUGAAAAAUCCGGAAUCGAAAUUAUCGUAGACAAACCCACCAAGAUGUGUUCCAGAUGUAUUUUAUGUCACUUAUUUAGAAGCGUCACUGACGGCAUUCUAUUAGUCACUAUAUUAUAUGUAUUAACAUGCUUUUUUGAUGGCCUUCACCGCUUGCUGCAAUGUCCCAGAUAUUAAUCCUGCAAAUAAAACUAUAUUCAAACCAUUCCUUUCCAAUCAUUCCAAGGACCUGCUACGGAGGAGUGUAGGUUAGAGCUUCAGUGAACGAACUAACUGUUCUAGUAUAGGCAUCGUGGAUCUAAGAGGUUACCUAGUACAAAGAAAUCAAACGUAUCCCGGGAGUUAGUCAUUUCCAAACUCCUAAAACAAUCUCAGCAAAUUCACCAAGUGCACGGAUCCCAGAGGAGAGCUAUCACAACAGACGUGAUCGGUACUCACAGACCAUCUCCAGAGUGUUCACGUCGAUAUUGCCCCCCACCACGCCCCCUUUGGAGUCCAGCUUGGACCGCCCCAGGCCGACCGACAUGCUGAUCUCCCGGUCCCGAUUGCUGCCCACGGACAGGCGGCCCUGGCUCUUCAGACCGCUGGUGGUCCACCUGGAGGAGCCAAUGAGCUCUCAUUAGAACGUAAUGCAGUAUCCACGUCAUCAGGUUCAUCAAAUAAGUAUAUAUGGACAAAAAUAUAUGAAACUAAGGCACAUAGUGAUGAUGGCUGAACGCCCCGACCCACGUGACCCACGUGACAUCACAUCAGCCAUCUCAGUCUAAUGGAAAUAGUGACUACAGCUGUCAUCUCUUUGGUUCAUAGAACAAGCGUUGUCAAUGCAUGGCAAGCUUUAGGAUUGUUGCCUUAACGUUGACAUUAAUGGAAAAUUCUUCACAGAGUGAAAUAUUGCUUGUGGUAUUUGCUGUAUCACUAUUUGACAUUUGUCUAUGGCAAUCCUGACCAGCUUGUGUGUGAUAUUCUGCAACAUUACGCCAUAAAAAAUGCACAG